rnacentral:snRNA from 1 species
UCCAGGAUAAGGAGGGCA